UACGUAGGGGGCAAGCGUUGUCCGGAUUUAUUGGGCGUAAAGAGCGUGUAGGCGGUCCGGUAAGUCCGCUGUGAAAGUCGGGGGCUCAACCCUCGAAUGCCGGUGGAUACUGUCGGGCUAGAGUGCGGAAGAGGCGAGUGGAAUUCCUGGUGUAGCGGUGAAAUGCGCAGAUAUCAGGAGGAACACCGAUUGCGAAGGCAGCUCGCUGGGACGUCACUGACGCUGAGACGCGAAAGCGUGGGGAGCAAACAGG
rnacentral:rRNA from 1 species